AAUUGCUGCGUUGAUUGUUGCAUCACGUCUGGAAAGGACAUGCUGUUAGAUGGGGAGUUAAGUUUGUUUCAACAACAUCUAUGUAUCAGAUUUUUGUGUUAAAACAUAAGCACUGUCUCGCAGGAGGCAAUGAAAAGCUUAAUUUGUUUUUGUAAUGUCUUUUGACGAGUUAUGUGAGCUGUGCACUUGUAUACUCAUUGGCUCAUAACAGAAUCUGUAGGGAGAGCGAGUACAUGAUUAUAAUCAUCAGUAUGCAGCCUUUUUUUUUUCGCAGCCUCGGAGGGACAAAACUUUGAGUUCAUAAUGCAAUAUUCAAAGAGUCAAUUAUGUACAUUGUUGAGCUGCAAAAAUAUAAGCUGAAAGUGUGUACUUUAAAAUAGUGUGGGCUCAAUUUCAGUAUAACUGGUGAUGCUUCUGCAUAGCGUUCAUUAUUUUCAGUAAACAUCAUGAGGUUGUGAAAUGCAAAAGUGUUUGUGUGCCGUAUGUAUUUGCAGUGUUAUUGCUGCCUGUUGUUCUGAAUGAACUCUUUUAAAUAUAGGAGUUAAUAUACACUACUGUGCAAAAGUUUGAGGUCUGUAAGAUUUAUUGAUUUAUUAAUUUAUUUAAUUGAUUUAUUUGAAAGAAAUACAUUUAUUCAGCAAGGAUGCAUUAAAUGAUCAAAAGUGACAGUAAAAACAUUUAGAAUGUUACAAAAUAUUUCUAUUUCGAAUAAAUGCUGUUGUUUAAAAGACAACAAAGAUUAUUAGAGUAUGUUUCAUAAGAUUUUUUUUUAUUCUUUCUACUUCAAAAUUUCAUAUUUAAUUCAGUGUUUUACUUUGCUUUUUCUUUGUAAUUCUUUGUGAAAUUUACUAGCAAUUUCUGAGUGAAAACUGUUUUAUCUAUCUAUCUAUCUAUCUAUCUAUCUAUCUAUCUAUCUAUCUAUCUAUCUAUCUAUCUAUCUAUUCAUUAAAUCUUUUUUUUUUCUCCCAGCAGGACACUUUCACCUUCAGUAUGAAAGCAGAGCGUUUCCAGUUCCACCACGGCUGAAACGGCAUGAUACAAAUCCUGCACUUCACGAGCGAAAAAGACUCAUGUCCUCAGAAAUUAUACAGCACAUGGAGAGUGACUUUUAUGAUUUUGAGAUGAACUGCGGUCUGCUGCUGCUUCAGACAGGUCGGUUCUGCCUGAGAAAUAAUGCCGCCCAUUACCCUUAAUUACUGCCAUGGGAAGGGCUGGUGACAGGCUUCACUCCUACACACUUCUUUCAGUUUUUUAGUCUUUGGCCCGGGUUUCCUGAUAACAUUACAAAACACACUCUGGAGAUCUUAAGAUCAAGUACAUUAUGUUGAGAUGGAUCCAGCACCUGUUUCCCAAAGCAGUACGUGGGUCGCCUGUUAAACCGAGCUGAAGUGCGCUGCUAUUGGAGCUGUCGAGCCCAAAGAAGGCCAAAACAUUUGCCAAUAUCUUCAAUAGUUUCUCUCCAACACGAAAAUACUGGCAGAUGGGAAAUGCAUGUUAUCUGUUCUGUUAAACGUUAAAACAUUUAGUUCCUACUGCAUAAAUGAAUAAAUGUAAAUGUACGUUUGGUCA
ensembl:lncRNA